rnacentral:tRNA from 1 species
AUUUUGGCAGAGAAGUGCCAUGAUUUUAGAAUUCAUACAUGUAAUUUUGAUUUACAAUUAGUA